rnacentral:rRNA from 1 species
UACGAAGGGGGCUAGCGUUGUUCGGAAUUACUGGGCGUAAAGCGCACGUAGGCGGAUCGAUCAGUCAGGGGUGAAAUCCCAGAGCUCAACUCUGGAACUGCCUUUGAUACUGUCGAUCUAGAGUAUGGAAGAGGUGAGUGGAAUUCCGAGUGUAGAGGUGAAAUUCGUAGAUAUUCGGAGGAACACCGGUGGCGAAGGCGGCAUCCUGGACCGGCAUUGACGCUGAGGCGCGAAAGCCAGGGGAGCAAACGGG